rnacentral:rRNA from 1 species
CCUACGGGGGGCAGCAGUGGGGAAUAUUGCACAAUGGGCGCAAGCCUGAUGCAGCCAUGCCGCGUGUGUGAAGAAGGCCUUCGGGUUGUAAAGCACUUUCAGCGGGGAGGAAGGCGUUAAGGUUAAUAACCUUGUCGAUUGACGUUACCCGCAGAAGAAGCACCGGCUAACUCCGUGCCAGCAGCCGCGGUAAUACGGAGGGUGCAAGCGUUAAUCGGAAUUACUGGGCGUAAAGCGCACGCAGGUGGUCUGUCAAGUCGGAUGUGAAAUCCCCGGGCUCAACCUGGGAACUGCAUUCGAAACUGGCAGGCUAGAGUCUUGUAGAGGGGGGUAGAAUUCCAGGUGUAGCGGUGAAAUGCGUAGAGAUCUAGAGGAAUAGCGGUGGCGAAGGCGGCCCCCUGGACAAAGACUGACGCUCAGGUGCGAGAGCGUGGGGAGCAAACAGGAUUAGAUACCCCUGUAGUC